GUUCGUUAGAGUGAUAUGAAUCUAUUUGAGGAAUGUGAAACCUUAUUUGCACAUAGUUAAACUUAAGACAGAACUGUUAAAUCAAGCAACAUACAGUAGAUGUCAGCAAAAUCCUUGUUGCCUAAAUUUGUUUUAGUGUCAGAUUAUUUCAGCGGCCCGUGUGUUUGGCAGCGAUCCUCGGGCCUUCGCCAAGACGCAGUUGACGAACCGUGUGAGCCAGGCUUUGAAAACACAGGAUCAAAGACUUCCAUGUUUCUGAGUUUCCUCUUCUCAGUACCAUGGUGUGUGUACAUCUCGCCCCUCUUGGCUCUGCUGAUGUGUAACAGGAUGUGAGUCUGCA